CACCAGCCCUGGAGGAAGACAGGACAAGAGCAAAGGACCCACGCCACAGAGCAACAACCUUGGAUGGAAAUUACAGUGACCAUCUCCCCAAAACAGCCCUUCACUCAGGUUGAAUCUCAGCAUUCUGGACGAGAGGCUCUGGCCAUACUGCUUCAAUCCCCAACACGGCCGCACCCAAAUCUGUUCGGGGUGUUGUGCUCCCAACUGUUGCCACUUCCACAUUCUAAACCUCACCCCACCCCAGACAGAAUACCAGGGUCUUUCUUCACCAAAAACCAGGAUUCAAGAAUGGCAGAGGACCAAGCAAGUGGUGGGCGGCCGGAGGCAGAGUUCACAGCAGAGGUGGCCCUCCCCCAGGCAGAAAGUGGACCCUGCCUGAAGAUUAGGGUGGUCCUUCCUCUGGAAGGUCCAGAAAGGGGCAGACAGGGAAGCAGGGACUCCCCCCUUCAAGGAAAAGUGUUGGACAUUUUCCCCAUUCAAGUCCAAGCAAGGUUUGCUCUGUCCUGAGGGAGCUGGUCAGUAAGUUCCACAGUGCCGAUAGAUUAGAUCUCACAGAGGCCGGGGGUCUGGACAGCUAGAGCUGAGCUAUUGGGGGAAAUUAAAACACAUAGACCUCACACUCUUUGAACCAGAAUUCUUGGAAUCGAGAUGGUCAAAACCCCCUGGGAUCCCAGGAAGGAGGUCUCCAGCCAGGCCCUAGAGCUUCUCUGGGGGUUAAGCUGCUCCAAUUCUGCAAUUCCAGGUUCCCGGCCUCAGACCGGUAAAAUUUCACAAAGAACCCAUGAUGUGUGAAGUCAAUGACUGGGCGAGUUCAAAGGCUUCACAACCAGGAUCCACAGACUCGGUGACUCAGCCCUCGUCUUGGAGACAGGAAUGGAACCCUGGGCCCAGUGGGCACU